AGCUCCAAUAGCGUAUAUUUAAGUUGCUGCAGUUAAAAAGCUCGUAGUUGGAUUUCGGGCAGGCGCGAGCGGUCCUCCAUCGGUGUGCACUGCUCGCGGCUGCCUUGCUGUCGGGGACGAGCUGCUAGUCUUAACUGGCCGGCACUCGGAGCCGACGAGGUUACUUUGAGUAAAUUAGGGUGUUCAAAGCAGGCGGCUGCACAUGAAUUCGAUAGCAUGGGAUAACAUUAUACGACUCCGGUCCAUCCGUUGGUCUGUGGGCAUGCGGAGUAAUGAUUAAGAGGGACGGUCGGGGGCAUUCGUAUUUCGUUGUCAGAGGUGAAAUUCUUGGAUUUACGAAAGACGAACAUCUGCGAAAGCAUUUGCCAAGGAUGUUUUCU
rnacentral:rRNA from 1 species